AAAAAAAAGAAUUAUGUUUGUAAUAUUUCAAUACAUGUCAAUACAUACUCCUUCGAAAAAAUGAAUAAAAAGAGGAAGGAGAAGAGAAAACAAUUGUUAUAAAGUUGUUCAAGUGAAUAAAACAUUUUAUAAAUUCAACUCCCGCAAUUUCUUUCAAGUCUCUUUUAUCUCUUUGAACUUUAGCCUAGUACCCCUUAGGAUUUGUC
rnacentral:lncRNA from 1 species